CGGGAUGUAGGGUAACGGUUACCCACUUGCUUUGGGAGCAAGGUUAAGCAGGUUCGACUCCUGUCAUCCCGACCA
rnacentral:tRNA from 1 species